UGGAAGUGCUCAAGUGUGGUAUACACUCAGGUGCAUUUUUCCAAUCACAAUAUUCUGGUUUUUGCUUUGGUUUGGUUUGGCUUUUUUGAGACAGAGUUUUGCUCUUGUUGCCCAGGCUGGAGUGCAAUGGUGCAAUCUCGGCUGGCUGCAACAUUCGCCCCCCGGUUCAAGUGGUUCUCCUGCCUCAACUUCCCGAGUAGCUGGGAUUACAGGUGCUCGCUACCACACCCAGCUACGUUUUUGUAUUUUUAGUAGAGACGGGGUUUCACCAUUUUGGCCAAGCUGGCCUCGAGCUUCUGACCUCAGGUGAUCCAUCCCCCUCAGCCUCCCAAAGUGCACACUAUUCUGUUUGCAGACUGAAAUAUGAGUUGGCGAGGAAGAAGAUAUAGACCAAGACGAUGUUUACGACUUGCUCAGCUGGUUGGGCCUAUGCUUGAGCCCAGUGUGCCAGAGCCUCAACAAGAAGAACCACCAACUGAAAGUCAGGAUCAUACACCUGGUCAGAAGAGAGAAGAUGAUCAGGGUGCAGCUGAGAUUCAAGGUACUUCGAUAUUGGCUCAGGACAAAACGCAGUUCAGUGAAACAGGAUAGCAACUCCAGAAAAGAGGUCAAUGAAUGACAGCCACUGUUUCCUUUGAUGUACAUUUUUGACAGCAUGUUUCGUAAAAGGUGGAUAAUUCAGGAUGUUGGCGUGCAGUGCCUAACCUGGAAGCUGAUCUCCAGGAGCUGUCUCAGUCAAAGACUGGGGAUGAAUGCGGAGAUAGUCCUGAUGUCCAGGGGAAGAUUCUGCCAAAAUCAGAGCAAUUUAAAAUGCCAGAAGGAGGGGAAGGGAAACCACAGCUUUAAACGAAGACAACCAAAAGAAUGCAA
rnacentral:lncRNA from 10 species